rnacentral:rRNA from 1 species
GCUCAGGAUGAACGCUGGCGGCGUGCUUAACACAUGCAAGUCGAGCGAAGCAGUUAAGAAGAUUCUUCGGAUGAUUCUUGACUGACUGAGCGGCGGACGGGUGAGUAACGCGUGGGUGACCUGCCCCAUACCGGGGGAUAACAGCUGGAAACGGCUGCUAAUACCGCAUAAGCGCACAGAGCUGCAUGGCUCGGUGUGAAAAACUCCGGUGGUAUGGGAUGGGCCCGCGUCUGAUUAGGCAGUUGGCGGGGUAACGGCCCACCAAACCGACGAUCAGUAGCCGGCCUGAGAGGGCGACCGGCCACAUUGGGACUGAGACACGGCCCAAACUCCUACGGGAGGCAGCAGUA